GUGGGGAAUAUUGCACAAUGGGGGAAACCCUGAUGCAGCGACGCCGCGUGAAGGAAGAAGUAUCUCGGUAUGUAAACUUCUAUCAGCAGGGAAGAUAGUGACGGUACCUGACUAAGAAGCCCCGGCUAACUACGUGCCAGCAGCCGCGGUAAUACGUAGGGGGCAAGCGUUAUCCGGAUUUACUGGGUGUAAAGGGAGCGUAGACGGACUGGCAAGUCUGAUGUGAAAGGCGGGGGCUCAACCCCUGGACUGCAUUGGAAACUGUUAGUCUUGAGUGCCGGAGAGGUAAGCGGAAUUCCUAGUGUAGCGGUGAAAUGCGUAGAUAUUAGGAGGAACACCAGUGGCGAAGGCGGCUUACUGGACGGUAACUGACGUUGAGGCUCGAAAGCGUGGGGAGCAAACAGGAUUAGAUACCCGUGUAGUCC
rnacentral:rRNA from 1 species